rnacentral:tRNA from 1 species
AGGAACUUAGGAUAAACUAGACCGGAGGCCUUCAAAGCCUCAAGUGGAGGUGAAAACCCCCCAGUCCCUG